rnacentral:rRNA from 1 species
CAUUCACGGAGAGUUUGAUCCUGGCUCAGGACGAACGCUGGCGGCGUGCUUAACACAUGCAAGUCGAACGAUGAAGCCCUUCGGGGUGGAUUAGUGGCGAACGGGUGAGUAACACGUGGGCAAUCUGCCCUUCACUCUGGGACAAGCCCUGGAAACGGGGUCUAAUACCGGAUAACACUUUCCUCCUCCUGGGGGAAGGUUGAAAGCUCCGGCGGUGAAGGAUGAGCCCGCGGCCUAUCAGCUAGUUGGUGGGGUAAUGGCCUACCAAGGCGACGACGGGUAGCCGGCCUGAGAGGGCGACCGGCCACACUGGGACUGAGACACGGCCCAGACUCCUACGGGAGGCAGCAGUGGGGAAUAUUGCACAAUGGGCGAAAGCCUGAUGCAGCGACGCCGCGUGAGGGAUGACGGCCUUCGGGUUGUAAACCUCUUUCAGCAGGGAAGAAGCGAAAGUGACGGUACCUGCAGAAGAAGCGCCGGCUAACUACGUGCCAGCAGCCGCGGUAAUACGUAGGGCGCAAGCG